ensembl:misc_RNA Y_RNA Y RNA
GGCUGGUAUGAAGGUAGUGAGUUAUCUCAAUUGAUCGGUCACAGUCGGUUACAGAUCAAAUCCCUCAUUCUACUCUUUCCGCACUUCUCACUACUGCACUUGACUCAUCUGAA